GAUGAACGCUGGCGGCGUGCCUAAUACAUGCAAGUCGAGCGAACAGACGAGGAGCUUGCUCCUCUGACGUUAGCGGCGGACGGGUGAGUAACACGUGGAUAACCUACCUAUAAGACUGGGAUAACUUCGGGAAACCGGAGCUAAUUCCGGAUAAUAUAUUGAACCGCAUGGUUCAAUAGUGAAAGACGGUUUUGCUGUCACUUAUAGAUGGAUCCGCGCCGCAUUAGCUAGUUGGUAAGGUAACGGCUUACCAAGGCAACGAUGCGUAGCCGACCUGAGAGGGUGAUCGGCCACACUGGAACUGAGACACGGUCCAGACUCCUACGGGAGGCAGCAGUAGGGAAUCCUCCGCAAAGGGCGAAAGCCUGACGGAGCAACGCCGCGUGAGUGAUGAAGGUCUUCGGAUCGUAAAACUCUGUUAUUAGGGAAGAACAAAUGUGUAAGUAACUAUGCACGUCUUGACGGUACCUAAUCAGAAAGCCACGGCUAACUACGUG
rnacentral:rRNA from 1 species